GAUGAAGAACGCAGCGAAAUGCGAUAAGUAAUGUGAAUUGCAGAAUUCAGUGAAUCAUCGAAUCUUUGAACGCACAUUGCGCCCAUUAGCAUUCUAGUGGGCAUGCCUUUUCGAGCGUCAUUUCAACCCUUAAGCCCUGUUGCUUAGCGUUGGGAGCCUACAGUACUGUAGCUCCCCAAAGUUAGUGGCGGAGUCGGUUUCACACUCUAGACGUAGUAAUUUUUUCUCGUCUGUAGUUGAGCCGGUCCCCUGCCGUAAAACACCCAAUUUAUCAAGGUUGACCUCGGAUCAGGUAGGAAUACCCGCUGAACUUAAGCAUAUCAAUAAGCGGAGGA
rnacentral:misc_RNA from 1 species